UUUGGACUUUGGGGAAAAUAGAGGAGAACAAUCUUUUGUCUUUUCGUCAUUUAUUUUACACAUGCGUGUUCAACUGUCUUUUGACAUCUUUUUCAUUUAUUUAUUUAUUAAACAGCGCUCGUAGUUAUUGACACUCCACAAUGUUUGCGAGUGGCAGUCUGUUCAAAUUCAAACAUGAUUAUCAAAUACUAAUGUCAGCAUGAGUAUUAUUUAUACUAUUUACGUUAAGAUAAUCGUGUUUAUAUUAAAGUAUUAGCGGCGUGUAAUUAAAUUUAAAAAGGGAGAAAUGAGGACAUCCGUUGUGUUUUGUCAUUUCUGCACGGGACAUGUUAACCUACCUCAGGUGUCAAGAUCGAAUCUGUUUUUAGGGUCAUUGAAGGUUUAACUCCCUCCCCCCGAUCUGAUCAGAUUACAGCCUAGUUGCGAGAUCCUUGUUAAUUACCUGAUUCACUUCAGAUAGCUUUAUCCAGGAGCCAGACAACAGUUAUUGCUCGAAAAUGACAGACUUUAAUAACCAAACGAAUUCCCUGUUAUCUGCAUUAACUGUGUUCGCUUUCCUAGUAUCCUCAACCUGUCUUUUUCACAGACCAGUGAUCAUAACAAGGAUGGGGAACUUAACAUCCUCUGCGCCUGGGUUGUCAAGCUCUGCAUGUACUCAGUUUGUCCAGGAUAUUGUGUCCAAGAACUGUGUUGUAAUAUUCUCCAAGACCACAUGUCCUUACUGUAAAAUGACUAAGAAUGUAUUUAAUGAGAUAGGAGCAUCAUAUAAAGUCAUUGAACUGGAUGAGCACAAGGAUGGUCGACGUCUCCAGGAGACCUUGGCGCAAAUGACAGGUGCCAGAACAGUGCCAAGAGUCUUUAUCAAUGGGCAGUGCAUUGGAGGGGGUUCAGAUACAAAACAGCUUCACCAGCAAGGGAAACUUCUGCCUCUCAUUGUACAGUGUAGGCCAUGCUGUUUGAGUAACAACACUGAGAGCUUAGGAAAUCUUCAAUUUCAAACUAAUCAGUGAUUAUAUAUAUAUAUUUGAUAUGUUUGUAUUAUGUGGCUACCCUGGAACAGUGCAAAUCCCUGCGAUGGAGUUGUGUUAACAAAUGUCGAUAAAAUAUAUGCUGCUAUGAAGAAAUAGCCCACCUGUUCCGCCUAACUAACUUAUUAUGAGUGCAUAUAGCCACAUACAUGCUGCAGCUAAAUAUGGUUGUCAGUUCACCUUUUAGUACUUAAUCCUGUUCUGUACACAAGCAGUUCGGUAAUUUACGAGUGACAACCGCAUUCUACAACCAAAUUAAAUCCUGAAAAAUUCAGGUAGUGACAAACGUAUUUUCAGAAAUUCUACUUUGUGUGUACAGAACCGAACUGAACACCUAGUUGUUAAUGACAUGAUCGAUAAUGCAUGUGAGAUGUGUCCGUCGUCUUCUGGUGCACAUCACACAAACGGGUGCGAGAUGCUGCAGUGUUGCUGUGGUGAUCACUUGUCAGUCAUUGCAAUUGACAGAAAAAAAGAAUACCUCUGUAUGAAGCACAACAGUCUGGUUCCGGAAGUAAAAUUCCAUUAAUUACCAUUAAUUUCAACAAUAACUUAUAAAUCUUUAAAGACCGACCUACCAUGAGCUCCGAGAUUGUUCAUUGAAUGGUAUAUGCCUCUUUUGAUGGCAUCAGUUUGUGCUAUUUCAACUUCAUUGUUUUAAAAUCGUGUUUAAUAGCGGAAUUUGUGGUGAACUACACUACCCAUGGUCCUGGAGAGAGAUCCACCAAUCAGAGAACAGUGGCCAACAAAGCCCGCCAAACAAGGCCAGCAGCAACCUGCCACCUCAAUGACACAAUCGAGUCGGUCGACCCUACACCCUCAAACUACAUAUAUAUUUGUAUAUAUCUGAAUAUUUCACAGUAAACCUAAAAUAUAUUGUUUCUAUACUUCUAAUCAACAACAUAAAAUUAUGUAAGUACAGUAAGUACAGAAUCUUGUACUUUUGUCUUUUUAUCCAAUUUUCAAAUACUUUUAUGCUUCAAAUAAAAUUUUAUAAUGUUGUGAUUCACCUUGGUGCUGGUUGGUUUGGUUCAUGUCUUAGAACUCUUUUAUGAACAAUGUUAUGAAAAGCCUAUGGAAAAAUGAAUGGGAAAAAUACUUCUGGAACCCAGAUGGCUAAAAAGGUGGGCGGGCACUGUUGCACUCUUUUCCAUACAUUCAUGGAAUUCGCCCCCGCAUUUAAAUGUGGUUGUCACUCCUGAAACUUUGUAGUGUGUACAUGGCUGUUUUGUUUUUAUUGUUAUAAGUUUCCCAGACUGUUGUCAUCUAAAAGAUACUCAUCACAUGUGAUGUAAAUUAUUUCUGUAAAAUAUAACAUUAGGUGUUUUAGUUGAUGUUGACAUAUUACUUUUUAAGUAUGACCUAUGUUACAUAGCUCUACCUCAUUACUACAAUAUGUACUGAAAUAUUUUGUAAGUAUUAAAGUUUCUCAAAAAUGUGUUUUUUUUUUUUUUUUUUUUUUUAAAUACAAGCACCCACUGGACUGAAAUCAUACCUAUAUAUAGCUUAAUACUGCACACUGUAUCACCUUGUUCUCCACAGUUGCAAAAGUACUGCAGCUAAAGACACAUUGGAUGGUGUAUUACAACAGCAUUUUUCUGUUGUGGCAUAGCCAUUUGACAGUUUUUAAUUGAGUGUACAUGUAAAAAUGCCUUCAAGUAGUGGUACAUUUUAAUGACAAUUAAGCAGAGCUUCAGUAAUUUUAGGCAGAUUAUCCCUAACAAAUAAUGUACUACUACAAGAAUCAGAAAAAUUCUAAUGACAACAUUUUCAGGACGUGAACUCUGAAAGGACAAGUUAAUGUCUUAAUUUCUUGUCAUUUUUUUUUUUAUUAUUGUUUUUAUUUUAUUUAUUUAUUUAUUUAUUUAUUUUACAUUGGUUCAUCAGAAAAGGAAGAU